AGCGAACGCUGGCGGCAGGCCUAACACAUGCAAGUCGAACGAGCCCUUCGGGGUUAGUGGCGGACGGGUGAGUAACACGUGGGAACGUGCCUUUAGGUUCGGAAUAACUCAGGGAAACUUGUGCUAAUACCGAAUGUGCCCUUCGGGGGAAAGAUUUAUCGCCUUUAGAGCGGCCCGCGUCUGAUUAGCUAGUUGGUGAGGUAAUGGCUCACCAAGGCUACGAUCAGUAGCUGGUCUGAGAGGAUGACCAGCCACAUUGGGACUGAGACACGGCCCAAACUCCUACGGGAGGCAGCAGUGGGGAAUCUUGCGCAAUGGGCGAAAGCCUGACGCAGCCAUGCCGCGUGAUGAUGAAGGUCUUAGGAUUGUAAAAUCCUUUCACCGGUGAGGAUAAUGACUGUAGCCGGAGAAGAAGCCCCGGCUAACUUCGUGCCAGCCGCCGCCGUAAGAC
rnacentral:rRNA from 1 species